ACGGAGGAUGCGAGCGUUAUCCGGAUUUAUUGGGUUUAAAGGGUGCGUAGGCGGUUUGUUAAGUCAGCGGUGAAAUCUAGAGGCUCAACCUCGAAACUGCCGUUGAAACUGGCGAACUUGAGUGUAGAUGAGGUAGGCGGAAUUCGUGGUGUAGCGGUGAAAUGCAUAGAUAUCACGAGGAACUCCGAUUGCGAAGGCAGCUUACUAAGGUACAACUGACGCUGAAGCACGAAAGCGUGGGUAUCAAACAGG
rnacentral:rRNA from 1 species